AUUGAGCCCUGGCAGAGAUGAGGAUUCUGGAUUAUGAGAAGAUAAUUACCCAUUAUGAUUUGGAUUCUACUGAACAUUCUAAUUCAGAGUCGACAGGUGCAGCGGAAGUCCACGAUCACAUCCUGGCACAUCCAAGUAUAAAACUGAGUAGGACCAGAGGAAUGACUGUGUGACUCAAAAGAGUUUGCCCAAAUGGUCUUCAUCACUCUUCAUCACUUCAUCACUCUCAAUGGAAACGACAGCAACUCUCAUCUCGUAUCUGUGGUUAUGUGAGAACUUCAAGGUAUGUAUCUGGUCACAUAUUUUGCAUUUACAGUUUCCAGAAACUGGCCAAUAGCUUAACUAUUUGCUUAGGAGUUUUAAAGGAAAGGGACCAUAAAUCUGAGACAUACUGGGCUGAGAACGCACUAUGAAGAGUUUUGUGUCAUGUAUUAACAUUUAUCUUGGACGAGGCAUUGAACAACCAAGCUGACCUCACUAACACCACUGCUUGUCUCAGAAUUGGCACGACAGGCACAUGGACAGGAGCAUAGUAGCAGAGAUAGACAUCCUUCGCCUCAUGGCAAAGGUGGUGGGUGCUAUAGGCUUGAAAUCCAAAUAUUAUACCACCCAGAAGCCAGCUUCUCAGAAUGCAGCCAGCCUGCGGCUCACUCAUGCAUUCUAUAGUAGGAAAUCCGAGGGAUGGACUUUCAUAACAACCAUGGGCUCUUGUACAGAGAUCUGCAGCUCUAUGUAAAUGACCCGCUGACCCAGCUGUCAUGUUCUAAAAUCAGUCAUCAGGUUGGCACUGGAAUGUGCUUCCCCUCAGAGGCUGAGAGAUGAUAAACUGUGACCGUGAUGCUGGGCAGGGUUGUACCAGAAAGAUGCUGACCUUUUCUAAAGGGCAGCUUUGCCUUAAACUCUCCCCAUAAGCCUCCAUGAGGCUUGCAUAGAGCCGCACUGCAGUUUAAUAAGUAAGUUCCCUGUGCCUUUCAUCCUUUCUCCCCUGCCCCGUGUUUUGUCUUCAUAGGAAAAGACCUGAUUUAUGGUCUGAUGGCUUUUCCUGCAGUUCAUUCUUGCUGCUGCUUCCUCAAUACAUAAUCUCAUCUUGGCAUCUGCCUCUUGGAGGAUCUGGACGAACACAGAUGGUUUGGACAUGUGCUAGUGGGUGUCUACGAAAGAAUGGCAAACAUGCCAAUCUUUCGUGCUGAGUGUGGUCAAUGAGCAGGGGCUGCCAGGAAAGGUGUCAGGACGUAGUCUAGCCUCCUAUCUGGGCCACUGAAAUGUGCCGGGGUCUACUGGGAAGAACUAGAGCGAGGGCAGGAAUAGCAUCCUGAUCGUUCACUGGUCACUACUGCUGAACUGAAAUGUUCCACAAAUCUCCAUUAUGACGGGAAAUGGUACAACUAAGUGUGGUAGUUUAUGUCUGUAAUUCCAGAACUGUGGAAGCUGAGGCAGGAUUGUUGUGAGUUUGAGACUACCCUGAGCUGUCUGUUGAGUACCAGGCUGGGUAAGGCUACACAGAGUGACCGGAAUCCACCCUCACCCCCCCCCCCCAUCCUGUUUUAACAAAACAAGGAGCUAGGAUGUGGUUCAGUUUAGGCAGGUGACUGCUUAAUAUGCAUGAAGCCCUGGAUCCAAUCCUCUGCGUUAUAUAAAACCAGGUAUCGUGCUGAAUGUCUACACUAAGGAGAUGAAUGAAAAGAUCAGGAGUUCAAGGCCAUUCCUGUCCACAUAGUUGAGUUAAAGCAUCUAGAGAUAAGUGAUCAGAAACACCAAACCCAAAAGACAAAUAGAAGCGGGGUGGUGGGUGGGCAUGAGUAAAGGGCUACUUACUGUAUGUGGAAGUUUUGUAAUGGUGAAGAUGAUCCUUGGUAGUGAAUGAUUAAUGUGGAUGCUCAACGAAUAGCAAUUGCAUGGAAAACUAUAAACAAUGCGACUAUUUAUGAGCAAUAAUAAUGUUUAAUGAUGCCUAUAAUCGUAUGUCAUUAAUGGUCCUAAAGUGAUACUGGAUGUAAGAAGUCAUGAGGCUGAACUGUAUAAGUCACAGUAGCCCCACACUAAAAGAUGCAAAGUCAAUGGACUCUAGGGGGAAAGAAAUCAAAGCAUCAGGAUGCGUUAGCGUUCUCCCUCAUGGGCUGGCGCACUGUGUUCUGGGGAGCUGUUGUGAACUUCUUUCUUGGGAGUUUGCGUCCUGGAGACAUCAUGACAAGAUGCUACUCAUGCGUAUUACUCAUUCUCCUUUGUGCUUCCAGCCAAGGAACAUCCCGAUGUUUAUCAUAUUUGAGUAGAAUUUCCUACUGAGGAAGGAAUACGGUGACCGAUUAACUAAGAAAAUGAACCCAAGGCCUCCUGCACACCAGUCAGGAGCUCUGUUGCCAACCUGCCCUUCAAUCCCACAACUCUAACUUUAAAGGUGGCUCUGGAGGAGUGCGUCUUUUUUAGCGUUGUCUGGGGUGAAAUAAAGACUUAAAGGUGUACUUGCUCUCCUGCAAAUGUUUUCUUCUGGCUUAAUCCAAUGGUCAGUUAUCAAUAAACGACUGAAACAGACAAGGGUACCAUACUGGCACACGUUUGAUCAGCAUUUGGGGUCCAGCGUGACUGAGUUGACUUUUUAAAAAUAAGAAUCCAAACUAAUGACACAUAUAAACCAGUUUAUUAGAUUGUCAGUGAUACUUUGAGACAAAUUCAAGUUAUUUUAUUUUACUUCAUAUAAACAGAGGAAGGAGGGAAC
ensembl:lncRNA